rnacentral:rRNA from 1 species
AUUGAACGCUGGCGGAAUGCUUCACACAUGCAAGUCGAACGGCAGCACGGACUUCGGUCCGGUGGCGAGUGGCGAACGGGUGAGUAAUGUAUCGGAACGUGCCCAGUCGUGGGGGAUAACGUAGUGAAAAUUACGCUAAUACCGCAUACGAUCUAUGGAUGAAAGCGGGGGAUCGCAAGACCUCGCGCGAUUGGAGCGGCCGAUAUCAGAUUAGGUAGUUGGUGGGGUAAAGGCCCACCAAGCCAACGAUCUGUAGCUGGUCUGAGAGGACGACCAGCCACACUGGAACUGAGACACGGUCCAGACUCCUACGGGAGGCAGCAGUGGGGAAUUUUGGACAAUGGGCGAAAGCCUGAUCCAGCCAUUCCGCGUGCAGGAUGAAGGCCCUCGGGUUGUAAACUGCUUUUGUACAGAACGAAAAGGUUUCUACUAAUACUAGGAGCUCAUGACGGUACUGUAAGAAUAAGCACCGGCUAGCUACGUGCCAGCCGCCGCCGUAA